rnacentral:rRNA from 12 species
CCCAGGUCAGGCGGGGCUACCCGCUGAGUUUAAGCAUA